GCCUCCACCCCUACCGUCGCCUCCAGGGGGCGCCCCGCGCGAGAGACGGAGGACCGGCCCCUGCGAGGCAGCCUCCCUUUGUGGUCCUGGCGCUUGGCCUGGAAUCUAUGCUGGAAAAGGCUCCAGCUAUGCUCACCCACAGAAGAAUAGGCAUGUGUGAAGAUGUAUCUUCCAUGGUGAGAAAACAUUUGCCCUGAAAAGGACCCUAGAGAUCAGCUAGUUCCACUUGGUCCUAUUGCAGAAGAGGUUGGUUUGAAGAGGAGAAACAACUUGUUUGUCAAAAAGAGACGUCACAGAACUGGGACUAGAAGUUGGGAAUCUAGUUUCCCAACUAGUGCCCUUUCCACCACUCUGCCUAUCUCUCCUUCAUGUAUUUAGUUCCUUAGUUGUUUAUGAAAUCUGCUAUCCUGUGCAUUCCAUUUUCUCCAUUUAAUUAUGUUACUGGAAAUAAAUCUAA